CAGUCGCCGCGGUAAUACAGAGGGUGCGAGCGUUAAUCGGAUUUACUGGGCGUAAAGCGUGCGUAGGCGGCUUCUUAAGUCGGAUGUGAAAUCCCUGAGCUUAACUUAGGAAUUGCAUUCGAUACUGGGAAGCUAGAGUAUGGGAGAGGAUGGUAGAAUUCCAGGUGUAGCGGUGAAAUGCGUAGAGAUCUGGAGGAAUACCGAUGGCGAAGGCAGCCAUCUGGCCUAAUACUGACGCUGAGGUACGAAAGCAUGGGGAGCAAACAGGAUUAGAUACCCCCUGUAGUCCCUGUCUCUUAUA
rnacentral:rRNA from 1 species